rnacentral:rRNA from 1 species
GAUGAACGCUGGCGGUAUGCUUAACACAUGCAAGUCGAACGGACUCUUCGGAUUUAGUGGCGGACGGGUGAGUAACGCGUGAGAAUCUGGCUUUGGGUUCGGGACAACCACUGGAAACGGUGGCUAAUACCGGAUGUGCCGAGAGGUAAAAGAGAAAUUGCCUGAAGAUGAGCUCGCGUCUGAUUAGCUAGUUGGUGAGGUAAAGGCUCACCAAGGCAGCGAUCAGUAGCUGGUCUGAGAGGAUGACCAGCCACACUGGGACUGAGACACGGCCCAGACUCCUACGGGAGGCAGCAGUGGGGAAUUUUCCGCAAUGGGCGAAAGCCUGACGGAGCAAUACCGCGUGAGGGAAGAAGGCUCUUGGGUUGUAAACCUCUUUCCUUAGGGAAGAACAAAAUGACGGUACCUAAGGAAUCAGCAUCGGCUAACUCCGUG